CGGGGUGUGGCGCAGUUUGGUAGCGCACUUGCUUUGGGAGCAAGGGGCCGGAAGUUCAAAUCUUCUCACCCCGACCA
rnacentral:tRNA from 1 species